rnacentral:rRNA from 1 species
AAUACGUGCAACAAACCCCGACUUCUGGGAGGGCUGCAUUUAUUAGAUAAAAGGCUGACGCGGGCUUUGCCCCCUUAUCCGAUGGUUCAGGAUAACUCGACGGAUCGCAUGGCCCUCGUGCCGGUGAUGCAUCAUUCAAAUUUCUGACCGAUCAACUUUCGAUGGUAGGAUAGGGGCCUACCAUGGUGGUGAUGGGUGACGGAGAAUUAGGGUUCGAUUCCGGAGAGGGAGCCUGAGAAACGGCUACCACAUCCAAGGAAGGCAGCAAGCGCGCAAAUUACCCAAUCUUGACAUGGGGAGGUAGUGGCAAUAAAUAACAAUACCGGAUGCAUUAGUGUCUGGUAAUUGGAAUGAGUACAAUCUAAAUCCCUUAAUGAGGAUCCAUUGGAGGGCAAGUCUAGUGCCAGCAGCCACGGUAAUUCCAGCUCCAAUAGCGUAUAUUUAAGUUGUUGCAGUUAAAAAGAUCGUAGUUGGACUUCGGGCCGGGUCGGCCGGUCCGCUUCACGACGAGCACGACCUACUCGACCCUUCAGCCGGCGAUGCGCUCCUAGCCUUAUUUGGCCGGGUCGUGCCUCCAGCAUCAUUAAUUUGAAGAAAUUAGAGUGCUCAAAGCAAGCCAUCGCUCUGGAUACAUUAUCAUGGGAUAACAUCAUAGGAUUCCGGUCCUAUUAUGUUGGCCUUCGGGAUCAGAGUAAUGAUUAAUAGGGACAGUCUCGGGCAUUCGUAUUUCAUAGUCAGAGGUGAAAUUCUUGGAUUUAUGAAAGACGAACAACUGCGAAAGCAUUUGCCAAGGAUGUUUUCAUUAAUCAACAAUGAAAGUUGGGGGCUCGAAGAGGAUCAUAUACCGUCCUAGUCUCAACCAUAAACGAUGCCGACCAGGAAUCGACGGAUUUUACGUAUAGGACUCCGCUGGCACCUUAUGAGAAAUCAAAGUCUUUGGGCUCGGGGGGGGGGGGGUAUGGUCGCAAGGCUGAAACUUAAAUGAAUUGACGGAAGUGCAGCACCACGCGUGGAGCCGGUGGCUUAAUUUGACUCAACACGGGGAAACUUAGCAGGUCCAGACAUAGCAAGAAUUGACAGACUGAGAGCUCUUUCUUGAUUCUGUGGGUGGUGGUGCAUGGCCGUUCUUAGUUGGUGGAGCGAUUUGUCUAGUUAAUUCCGUUAACGAACAAGACCUUAGCCUGCUAACUAGCUAUGCGGAGCCAUCCCUCCGCAGCUAGGUUCUUAGAGGGACUAUCACCGUUUAGGCGACGGAAGUUUGAGGCACUAACAGGUAUGUGAUGCCCUUAGAUGUUAUAGGCCGCACGCGCGCUACACUGAUGUAUUCAACGAGUAUAUAGCCUUGUCCGACAGGCCCGCAUAAUAUUGGGAAAUUUUAUCGUGAUGGGGAUAGAUCAUUGCAAUUGUUGGUCUUCAACGAGGAAUGCCUACUAAGCGUGAGUCAUCAGCUCAUGUUAACUACGUCCCUGCCCUUUGUACACACCGCUCGUCGCUCCUACCGAUUGAAUGGUCUAGUGAAGUGUUCAGAUUGCAGCGAUUGGGGCGGUUCGCCGCACCCGACGUCAGGAGAAGUCCAUUGAACCUUAUCAUUUAGAGGAAGGAGAAGUCGUAAGAAGGUUUUCAUAGGUAAACCUGCGGAAG